GACGUAGGGGGGCGAGCGUUGUCCGGAUUCAUUGGGCGUAAAGAGCGCGUAGGCGGCCCGGAAAGUGGGGUGUGAAAACCCGAGGCUCAACCUCGGGCGUGCACUCCAAACUCCCGGGCUUGAGGCAGGUAGGGGGAGAUCGGAAUUCCUGGUGUAGCGGUGAAAUGCGCAGAUAUCGAGGAGGAACGACCGGUGGCGAAGGCGGA
rnacentral:rRNA from 1 species